rnacentral:siRNA from 1 species
GAAUCUGGUCACAAACUAACGCCA